UACAGAGGGUGCGAGCGUUAAUCGGAAUUACUGGGCGUAAAGCGUGCGUAGACGGUUUCGUAAGUCGGGUGUGAAAUCCCCGGGCUCAACCUGGGAAUUGCAUUCGAAACUGCGAGGCUAGGGUACGGAAGAGGGAAGCGGAAUUUCUGGUGUAGCGGUGAAAUGCGUAGAUAUUAGGAAGAACACCGGUGGCGAAGGCGGCCCACUGGAUCGGUACUGACGCUGAGGUGCGAAAGCGUGGGGAGCAAACAGG
rnacentral:rRNA from 1 species